rnacentral:rRNA from 1 species
UACGUAGGGGGCAAGCGUUGUCCGGAAUCAUUGGGCGUAAAGAGCGUGUAGGCGGUCCGGUAAGUCGGCUGUGAAAGUCCAGGGCUCAACCCUGGGAUGCCGGUCGAUACUGCCGGACUAGAGUUCGGAAGAGGCGAAUGGAAUUCCCGGUGUAGCGGUGAAAUGCGCAGAUAUCGGGAGGAACACCUAUGGCGAAGGCAGCUCGCUGGGACGUUACUGACGCUGAGACGCGAAAGCGUGGGGAGCAAACAGG